AUUGAACGCUGGCGGCAUGCCUUACACAUGCAAGUCGAACGGUAACGGGCCUUCGGGUGCCGACGAGUGGCGAACGGGUGAGUAAUACAUCGGAACGUGCCCGAUCGUGGGGGAUAACGAGGCGAAAGCUUUGCUAAUACCGCAUACGAUCUACGGAUGAAAGCAGGGGACCGCAAGGCCUUGCGCGGACGGAACGGCCGAUGGCAGAUUAGGUAGUUGGUGGGAUAAAAGCUUACCAAGCCGACGAUCUGUAGCUGGUCUGAGAGGAUGAUCAGCCACACUGGGACUGAGACACGGCCCAGACUCCUACGGGAGGCAGCAGUGGGGAAUUUUGGACAAUGGGCGCAAGCCUGAUCCAGCCAUGCCGCGUGCAGGAUGAAGGCCUUCGGGUUGUAAACUGCUUUUGUACGGAACGAAAAGCCUUCUUUUAAUACAGGAGGGUCAUGACGGUACCGUAAGAAUAAGCACCGGCUAACUACGUG
rnacentral:rRNA from 1 species